rnacentral:rRNA from 1 species
AUGGCCGGCGCCGCGCCUCACGUCAUGGUGCUGCCGUUCCCGGCGCAGGGCCACGUCACGCCGUUCAUGGAGCUGUCGCACCGCCUCGUCGACCGCGGCUUCCAGGUCACCUUCGUCUGCACCGAGCUCAUCCACGCGCUCCUCCUCGACACCGGCACCAGCGGCGACGCGCUGUGCGGCAUCCGCCUCGUCUCCAUACCGGACGGCAUGGCCGACGGCGACGACCGCAGGGACCUCUCCAAGUUCGUGGGCGCCAUCACGCGGUACGUGCCGGGCUACGUGGAGGACCUCAUCAGGGAGACGGCUGCGUCCGGGGAGAAGGAGGUCAAGUGGCUCCUCGCCGACGUCAACCUGGGGUUCUGCUACCAGGGCGCCAAGAACCUCGGCGUCCGGGUGGCUGCCGUCUGGCCGGCGGCCGCCGCGAGUCUCGGGAUGUGGUCCAGCAUUCCCAAGAUGAUAGAGGAUGGCUUCAUCGAUGACAAGGGCAUGGCAAAGCGAGAGGGGAUAUAUGAGAUCGCCCCCAAGAUGCCGCCGAUCUGCAUGUCACGCAUGCCGUGGUGCAUCGACGGCCCACCCGAGGGGCAGCAGCUGGUCUUCAAGCUCGUGGUCACCGACAACGCCCAAGCGACCAGCCUCGCCGAGAUCGUCGUGUGCAACUCGUUCCUCGACGCCGAGGCAGCGGCGUUCGGGAUGUUCCCGGAGAUACUGCCCAUCGGCCCGCUGUUCGCCGAUCAGGAGCUUCGGAAGCCCGUCGGGCAGUUCUGGCCGGAAGACGUCAGCUGCCUGGAGUGGCUCGACGCGCAGUCCGAAGGCUCCGUCGUGUACGUGGCGUUCGGCAGCUUCACCAUCUUCGACCCGCGGCAGUUCCGAGAGCUCGCCGAAGGGCUGGAGCUCACCGGCCGGCCGUUCCUGUGGGUGGUGCGCCCGGACUUCACCUCCGACGUCCUCGGCAAGGCGUGGUUCGACGAGUUCCAGAGCCGCAUCGCUGACAAGGGCAUGAUCGUCAGCUGGUGCCCCCAGCAGAAGGUUCUGGCGCAUCCCGCCGUGGCGUGCUUCGUGUCGCACUGCGGGUGGAACUCGACGAUGGAGGGGGUGAGGAAUGGCGUGCCCAUCCUGUGCUGGCCCUACUUCGCCGACCAGUUCACGAACCGGAGCUACAUUUGCGACAUCUGGAGGACCGGCUUGGCCGUGACGCUCGGAGAUGGAGUCGUGACGAAGGAGGAGGUGAAGAGCAAACUUGAGCAGGUCAUCGGCGACGAGGGAAUCGCGGAGAGGGUAGCGAUGCUCAGGGAUGCAGCUCGUAGGAACAUUGGCGAGGGCGGGUCCUCGUAUGAGAAUUUCCAGAGAUUUGUUACCCUCCUAAACGAGUGA